rnacentral:rRNA from 1 species
UGGGGAAUAUUGGUCAAUGGGCGAAAGCCUGAACCAGCAAUGCCGCGUGAGUGAUGAAGGCCUUCGGGUUGUAAAGCUCUGUCAGCGGGAACGAAGAAGCCGGUUAAUACCCGGUGGUGACGGUACCCGCAAAGGAAGCACCGGCUAACUCUGUGCCAGCAGCCGCGGUAAUACAGAGGGUGCAAGCGUUGUUCGGAAUUAUUGGGCGUAAAGCGCAUGUAGGCGGUCUAGCAAGUCGGUCGUGAAAUCCCUCAGCUUAACUGAGGAACUGCGAUCGAAACUACUGGACUAGAGUAUCGGAGGGGGUGGCGGAAUUCCCGGUGUAGAGGUGGAAUUCGUAGAUAUCGGGAGGAACACCUGUGGCGAAGGCGGCCACCUGGAAGAUCACUGACGCUGAGAUGCGAAAGCGUGGGGAGCAAACAGGAUUAGAUACCCAUGUAGUCCCUGAGCGGGCUGGCAAGGCG